GGAUUGUCUUUCUGUCGAGCAGGCAUGUCUGUAUUGCAGUAAGCUCUACAAAGGUUUUUGUGUUUACUUAGUACUAAACAAAACUGCAUUUUUAUGACUGUUAUAAAUACAUGGCGCCAAGAUUUUCAGAAGUGACUAGUGAUUUUGGGCGCCCAACUUCUGCGUCAUUGUAAAAGGGCCUGGUCAAAUCAGGCCCCUUUAAGUUGUCUCAGGUGAGGCACCCACUAAUGACUUGGGAAAGUCUUGGCUUUGAUUUAUUAUACAAGGGGAAUAAGCUAUACCAGGAAAAGGCACCUUUAUCCUGGCAUAGCUGCAUCCUCACUUCAGGUUGUAAAGUAUAACUAUUUUAGGUAAAAAAAAAACCACACCCUUAACAGGACUAGUUAUACUGGUACAAAAUUUUCAGCCUGCUCUUAACUAGGCCCCCCUUUUUCCACUUGCAGUUUUGCAUUCACAGUUAUUUGUGGACACAAUUUAGAUCUUUACAGGUUUCUGUACCUGAUCUGUGCGAACAGUCAUGUAUUGAGAUGUCUAAAUGACCUAAAAUAUGCCUUAACUUACAACUCUGUAUCUCAUUCUGCAUAUUCUGAGCCAUCCAGGCCCCCUGAAUUCCGCAAUCCUUUAACUGGAUUCUCCAGAGGGAAAAGAGGGAAGGAAUGAUCUGAUGGGUAAGGCAAUGGACUGGGGUUCAGAAGAGCUCCAUUCUAUUCCUGGCUCUGCCACGGGCCUGCUGUGUGACCGUGGGGAAAGGACUUCACAUCUCUGCUUCUCCUUCUACCGAACAGAGAUGCUGUAUAUGCACAAUGUAAAGGGUGCCCAGAGAAUGCAAGCAGGAAACAGGCAUAUGUGCUCUCCACCCUGCCUGAGACCACCUCUCCCACUGCUAGCAAGACUUCCCGAUGAAGCGAUGAUCUUUCAGGGGUAAUGACAUUCCCAGAUGAUAGGUUAGAAUAGUAAGCCGAAACCCAGCCUGUUUGGCUGCUGGCCUAUGGCUAAGGGUCUCCCCCAAUCAUAAAAUCAUAAAGUAUCAGGGUUGGAAGGGACCUCAGGAGGUCAUCUAGUCCAACCCCCUGCUCAAAGCAGGACUAAUUCCCAACUUUAUCAAGAGGAUCAUCAGAAAACCUGACCAGGGCACAAUACAACAAUACAACACCCCCAUCUGCUGUAGCAUGUCUUCCCAUAACACUGAUGAGAAUGACAUCAUAGUCUUACUCUGCCUGCCGUCAGGAUAGGGCCAGAACAUAACUAGGAACAAAAGAUUAGUGAGGUGCAUAUGUGAAGACAUGCACAGGCCAUCUUUAAGGGACUAUAUUGAGAGGGCGCCUGUCUCAUUCAGUGCACAAAGUGUGCACUCAGUGACGCAAGGCUCUGCUUCUAUGACAGCCUGACCCAAAGCUCAUUGGAGUCAAUCUGAAACACAUGGAGGUCAGUGAGCGCUGGAUCAGGACCAGUAUGUGCAUUUCAUGUAGGGCAGAGCGUUCUAGUGCUGUCUGGCAAAUAGUUCCACAGAAUGAAAUUUAUUUUGUCUAUUAUGUUUCCUUUUUGAAAAAUCUAAGAAAUUCCCUUUGAGAAAAAACUGGUAAAAGCAUGUUAAUUUUGGAAAGUGAAGCACUCAAAAAUCAGAAAAGGCCGAGGUUAAAGUUGCCUCUUUAGGCACGACUCUGCCCCCUUGUGCAGAUGCAUUAUAGUCUUUCAUUGUGUAAACUUAUGCUGUUAUUGCUAUGGGACCACUGCCUCACUCACUUUAGCUUGUAGCUGUUUUGUUGGAAUUUUAUAGUAUUUGCUGAUGAAAUCAUUAGAGGAAGAGGCAAGUGAAGGUAGCCACCCUGAGGAGGGUGAAACCACCAAUGCCUAAAGCUAGCAUGGAGUAGUCUCUCUGAGCCCCAGCGCAAUUUAGGCUGGCUCCUUUAGUUUUGCUUCCGGCCAGUCAUAAUCUGGCUCUAACUUCCCCAGUGAAUCUUGGGCCAUUCAAGUAUAUGUAUUAGGAGCCGAAUUCUGCUCUGUUAUGCUAUAGCAAAUGUCAUUGAUUUCAAUGGAGAUACUCCUCAACUUACACUGGUUUUAACCAAGAGCAGUCUUGGGCCCUAGGCAUUAGGUGUUACUGAAAAGGGAAGUUUACAAGUUUAAUGUGAAUAGAAACAUGCUUUGGAAAAUGGAUAGUGUGAAUGAUAUGGACAAGUGUGAAAUGGACACAGUUUAAACAUCAACAGCAGCCUGACUGGCUUGAGGAACCCUGGUUGCUGAGAAGCCUUAAAGUACAAUGCCACCUGUGUAGGCUUUUGCCAGGUUGCCGUGUCCUUUCCUAAUUCAAAUUGCAACUAUAAGGAUGAUAAAAUGGAAAAUAAAUAUUUGUGCAAUGGCUGGGAAAAGCCAAUUAGUUUUGCACCAGUGAGAAAUAAUGCACAGCUCCCUGUGUCUUUAACAAGCUGGCUCUCAACAUCUAGUGUAAAAUAUAUCUUCACUACCCAAAUGUACUUACAAAUUUAAGUAGCAUGAGAACAAAAUGUAUUCUGCAAGUGGUAAUAAAAGAAAUAAUGCAA